rnacentral:rRNA from 1 species
GACGAACGCUGGCGGCGUGCUUAACACAUGCAAGUCGAACGAUGAAGCUAGAGCUUGCUCUGGUGGAUUAGUGGCGAACGGGUGAGUAACACGUGAGUAACCUGCCCCGAACUCUGGGAUAACUGCUGGAAACGGUAGCUAAUACCGGAUAUGACCAAUGAAGGCAUCUUCUGUUGGUGGAAAGAAUUUCGGUUCGGGAUGGACUCGCGGCCUACCAGCGUGUUGGUGAGGUAACGGCUCACCAAGGCGACGACGGGUAGCCGGCCUGAGAGGGUUAUCGGCCACACUGGGACUGAGACACGGCCCAUACACCUACGGGUGGCAGCAACAGGGAAUCGUACGCAAUGGACGAAAGUCUGACGUCGCAAUGCCGCGUGGAGGAUGAAGGCCCUCGGGUCGUAAACUCCUUUUAUAGUAAUAGAGAUGUUAUUAAGAAUAAGCACCUGCUAACGCUGUGCCAGCCGCCGCGGUAA